rnacentral:sRNA from 1 species
CAUAUUCUGAUUUUUCCUUCAAUGGAAGUCUCAAACUUUUUUAGCUUCAUAGUACAUAACCCUGAAGCCCCACUUCCUUAUCCAUGGGAAAGAAUUAUAGAUCUUCAGAGAAGAGUUGUUUAUUACAAGAACAAUGUGACUGAAGACUUGGUGUUUGAUUCUAGGUCCUCUAUCCAUGUUGGAGGGGGAAUCUACAUGGAUAACUCUCCAUUAUCAAGUUACAUGAAUAAUCGCCAUAGACAUCUUGUUCAUCAACUGAUAAGAGCGUAUCAACUUUCUGAUGAUGUGCCAAGAGUUUUUCUCUUUAGCAUCGGUCGCCAUGAUUAUGAUAGACUUCUCUAUCACAUUGUGCAAGAAUCAACCAUUCAGUGUCCAUCAUG